AUUGAACGCUGGCGGCAGGCUUAACACAUGCAAGUCGAGCGAGCGGCGGAGGGGUGAGUAAUGUGUGGGAAACUGCCUGAUGAAGGGGGAUAAAUACUGGAACCGGUAGCUAAUACCGGUAACCAUCAGAUGAGCCAAGAUGGGAUUAGCUAGUAGGUGGGGGAAGGGCUCACCUAGGCGACGAUCACUAGCUGGUCUGAGAGGAUGACCGGCCACACUGGAACUGAGACACGGUCCAGACUCCUACGGGAGGCAGCAGUGGGGAAUAUUGCGCAAUGGGCGCAAGCCUGAUGCAGCAAUGCCGCGUGUGUGAAGAAGGCCUUCGGGUUGUAAAGCACUGUCAUCGAGGAGGCGUUACUCGCAGAAAAAGCACCGGCUAACUCCGUGCCAGCAGCCGCGGUAAUUC
rnacentral:rRNA from 1 species